GGCACUAUAGUGUAGAGGUUAUCACUUGGGAUUUUGAUCCGCUUUGGAUUCCCAAAACCCAGGUUCGAACCCUGGUAGUGCCU